CAGCCGCCGCGGUAACACAGAGGGUGCGAGCGUUAAUCGGAUUUACUGGGCGUAAAGCGUGCGUAGGCGGCUUUUUAAGUCGGAUGUGAAAUCCCUGAGCUUAACUUAGGAAUUGCAUUCGAUACUGGGAAGCUAGAGUAUGGGAGAGGAUGGUAGAAUUCCAGGUGUAGCAGUGAAAUGCGUAGAGAUCGGAAGGAACAUCUGUGGCGAAGGCGACUAUCUGGGCCAACACUGACACUGAGGCACGAAAGCGUGGGGAGCAAACAGGAUUAGAUACCCCAGUAGUCCCUGUCUCUUAUAC
rnacentral:rRNA from 1 species